rnacentral:rRNA from 1 species
UACGUAGGGGGCGAGCGUUGUCCGGAUUUAUUGGGCGUAAAGAGCGUGUAGGCGGCCAGGUAGGUCUGCUGUGAAAACUCGAGGCUCAACCUCGAGACGUCGGCGGAAACCAUCUGGCUAGAGUCCGGAAGAGGAGAGUGGAAUUCCUGGUGUAGCGGUGAAAUGCGCAGAUAUCAGGAGGAACACCUAUGGCGAAGGCAGCUCGCUGGGACGGUAUUGACGCUGAGACGCGAAAGCGUGGGGAGCGAACAGG